rnacentral:rRNA from 1 species
AUUGAACGCUGGCGGCAUGCCUUACACAUGCAAGUCGAACGGCAGCACGGGGCAACCUGGUGGCGAGUGGCGAACGGGUGAGUAAUGCAUCGGAACGUGCCAUUGAGUGGGGGAUAACGUAGCGAAAGUUGCGCUAAUACCGCAUAUUCUGUGAGCAGGAAAGCAGGGGACCGCAAGGCCUUGCGCUCUUUGAGCGGCCGAUGUCAGAUUAGCUAGUUGGUGAGGUAACGGCUUACCAAGGCGACGAUCUGUAGCGGGUCUGAGAGGAUGAUCCGCCACACUGGAACUGAGACACGGUCCAGACUCCUACGGGAGGCAGCAGUGGGGAAUUUUGGACAAUGGGCGCAAGCCUGAUCCAGCCAUGCCGCGUGAGUGAAGAAGGCCUGGUGUAAG